rnacentral:rRNA from 1 species
UACGUAGGUGGCGAGCGUUGUCCGGAUUUACUGGGCGUAAAGAGCGCGCAGGCGGUCGUACAAGUCGCGUGUGAAAGCCCCCGGCUCAACUGGGGAGGGUCACGCGAUACUGUUCGACUCGAAGGCAGGAGAGGGUAGUGGAAUUCCCGGUGUAGUGGUGAAAUGCGUAGAUAUCGGGAGGAACACCAGUGGCGAAGGCGACUCACUGGACAUGUAUUGACGCUGAGGUGCGAAAGCGUGGGGAGCAAACAGG